rnacentral:rRNA from 1 species
UACGGAGGGAGCUAGCGUUGUUCGGAAUUACUGGGCGUAAAGCGCACGUAGGCGGCUUUCUAAGUCAGGGGUGAAAUCCCGGGGCUCAACCCCGGAACUGCCCUUGAAACUGGAUGGCUAGAAUCCUGGAGAGGCGAGUGGAAUUCCGAGUGUAGAGGUGAAAUCCGUAGAUAUUCGGAAGAACACCAGUGGCGAAGGCGACUCGCUGGACAGGUAUUGACGCUGAGGUGCGAAAGCGUGGGGAGCAAACAGG